UGCUGAGGUAGUCUAGUCUGGGAAGGCGCAAGAUUGGAAAUCUUGUGGGAGCAAUCCCUCGGGAGUUCAAAUCUCCCCCUUAGCGUCC
rnacentral:tRNA from 1 species